rnacentral:tRNA from 1 species
GGCCUUAUAGCUCACUGGCGAGAGCGGUCCCCUCAUAAGGGAUUGGGCGGGGAUCGUAACCCCGGAGGGCCA